rnacentral:misc_RNA from 1 species
GAUGAAGAACGUAGCGAAAUGCGAUAAGUAAUGUGAAUUCCAGAAUUCAGUGAAUCAUCGAAUCUUUGAACGCACAUUGCGCCCAUUAGUAUUCUAGUGGGCAUGCCUGUUCGAGCGUCAUUAAGUCCACUUAAGCCCUGCUUAGUGUUGGGAGACUGCUCCAGCGGUGCUACCCUGUAGCUACCCUGCAGCUCCUCAAAGACAGCGGCGGAGUUGUGGUAUCCUCUGAGCUUAGUAACUUGUUCUAGCUUUCGAGUACACCACUUCCCCUGCCGUAAAACCCUUAAUUUUUAAUGGUUGACCUCGGAUCAGGUAGGAAUACCCGCUGAACUUAAGCAUAUCAAUAAGCGGAGGA